GCCACACCCUGCACUCCUUCCUUCCUGCUCAGGGCCCCAGAUCCGGUGCCCCCGAUGCCUCAGGCUGCCAAGCACAUCAGGUACAAUAAGUUUAUUUUGUUGUCAUACUUGUCAGAGAAGAGCGGAGACACUGAGGACCUAGCAGCUUCCACCACUGACUCAGGAGGAAAUGGGCCGAGUCCCUGGGUCGUCCGGUGUGUGUGUGUCGGCGCUCCUUUCCACCUGUUGGGACUGUGGGGAUGGCUCCCUCUCUUCACCCCUGCCCAGUGUCCUCCCCCCUCCUCCCUGCUCUCCAGGCCUGGCUUCUCAUCUUGAGAUCCAGGGAUGGGCCAGAAGGAGCAGGAGCUCAGCUCCUGCGGGAAGAAAAGCAGAAGCAAGGAUCCCCUGCGUCCUCAGCCAGGAACGUGCACAUCGCGUUCGGGGGAGAGGCUGGGGCAUUUCUCUGAGCCUGAGGUCACCUCUGGGAGGCACACACCCUCUGUCCUCUGUCUCUCCCGGCCCCACCCCCUGCCAGAGGAGCAGCCCACUACUUGCUGGAAUUCAUCCUCCAAGCAAGACAGACGUGGGUCCUCAGUGUCCCUGCCUGUGCAUCUCCCCAGCUCAGCCUGAGGGUCUACCAGGAGCAGGUCCAUCCCCCAAGACCGGAGGAAAGCAGGGGAGCCCAUCACCCCUAAAGCCUCAACUUCUGCAAAGCAGCCACACACGCCAGCCUCCAGCCAAGCCACUGUGGGUGUGUCAGAGCUAAGGCUUCCAGAAGCAUCCAGGUUGCCAUUGGAAGAAGGAGUCUAAGUGUCUGAGGACAGUGCCAGCCUCUGGCGAGGGGGCAGAGCAGGGCUGUGUCUAUGCAGUAAAUCUGUGACACCAGCCCCUUGGGCUCCAGGGUUCUAUAACCUCACCCCUGCGGGUGGGCGGGAGGAGGGAAGCGUCUCCCGGAAGCUGGGCUGUGUGAUCCACAGCAGGUGGUGGCGGUGUGACCCCCUCACUGCCCACGAGCAGUGAGAGGAGCCCGACUGGACGUCUGAAAUGAUUCCUGUUUUAGUGUCGACCCGACAGUCCGGGGGGGAGGUCGGAGGUGAGAACACAAGACCACGGUCCCACCCCCGAGCCUCACGGGCGCCCUGGCACCGGGGACCCGCCCACCCUUCAUGCACUUUGUGUAGCCAAGUGGGGGACCCUCGUUCCCUGCAGACCCGCUCCGGAGCCUCCGUGCUCUCCCCACGGCCCGGAGCACAAGCCGUGACGUCUGUGUCAGGUCCUACAGCACAAGGACAUGUCAGUCCCUCCCUGAUGGCCUCUCUCGUGCACUCCAGGCAAAGGCGCUAACUAGUCCGGGGAGUUUUCUGUAGAUUCCUGGGAAUGUCUACGCAGACGCAUGCAGAAACAAUGUCUGUACCAAGACGGGCUGUCUGUUUACGUUUCCCGUUCAUAUCUCAUUUUAUUCCUUUUUUGUGUCUUAUCGCAUUUGAUCAGACUCCCCGAGAGGCUGCACGAGAGGGGGGACCACACUCACCACUGGCUCAUCCCCACUUUACGGGACAAGCAUUCCGUUUUCCACCAUCUACAGUCAGAUUAGCUGUCGGGAUUUCUGUAAAUAUGUUUAUUACCUUUGUCAGUUUCCUUAUCUCUAAUUGCGUUUUUCUUAUUUCUGUUCCUUGACUUGCUCUUAUUUUUAUAGACUCAUAAGAUACAUGCUUAAAUUAUCGAUUUGGAGCAUUUCCUCUUGUAAACUAUGACUUUAAUCAUAUAUAUAUUUCCUUACGAGCACCUCGUUAGCCCCUUUUCACACGUUUUGAUCUCUUGUGUUUUCACUUCCGUUCACCUCCAAUGUUGAAGUAUUUCCCUUCAGACACCCUCUCCGACAAGCGGGUAUGAAGAAUUAUUUUGCGUCAUUGCUAAGUGUCUGGAAAUGUCCUGUUAUCGUUCUGUUAUUACAUUCUACUCUAGCUCUAUUGGAGUCGGAGAAUAUAUUACUUUACUUGAGUCCAUGAGAAUCGUUGGCGUCUGGGUCACGCCCAGGACAGGACUUGGUCGUGGGGUGGGAGGGACUCUGCAGUCGCUGGGAGGGCCAAGCGCUCUCCGAGGACCCGCCAGGUCAAGGUGGCUCACGGUCGUGUUUGCCGCUCCGUGUUCUUCCCGAUUCUCCAGCCGCUCGCCGGCUCCCAGGGCAGGUGGGCUCGGUCUCUGGGACGCAGGAGGCCUCUGUCUCUCCCGUCGGUUCUGUCAGGUUUGCUGCGUGUCUCUGGUGCCCGUUGUCAGGUGGGCGCAUGUUUAGGGGUCUGGUCACUUCCUGCUGAAUUGAUCCUCCAUUAUUGUCUACCAUUCUUCUGGGUCCCUGGUAAUUUCCCAGGCUCUGAGGUCUACCUUUUCUGAUAUUAUUUAGCCCUUCUACCUUUCUUUGGAUUACUGUUGAUGUGAUCUCGUGCUUCAUUUUAUAUGUCAACUGGCUGGGCCCCAGUGCCAAGAACUUUGCCAGGUAUUAUUCUAGAUGUUUCUAUGAGGAGGUUUGGGGUGGAUAAACUCUGAGUAAAGCAGGCUCCCCUCCACAGUGUGGGUGAGCCACAUCUAAUCAGUUGAAGGCCUGAACAGUGCAAGGACUGACCUCCCCUGAGGAAGAAAGACUUCUGAAGUGGAGGGUCAGGGUCUGCAGCACUGGCUCCUCCCUGUGUGUCCUGCCUGGUGACAUUUGGACUUGACCCCAGCAGCACAUCCUCCCUCCUCUCAGCCCGGCUCCCUGACCCUGCAGACGCCAGACCCGCCAGCCUCUCCAAGAAUGUGAGCUACUUAUACAAUAAAUCUCUCUCGAUGUGCAA